rnacentral:rRNA from 1 species
UACAGGGGGGGCAAGCGUUGUUCGGAAUUACUGGGCGUAAAGCGCGCGUAGGCGGAUUUGCAAGUCGGGGGUGAAAUCCCGAGGCUCAACCUCGGAACUGCCUUCGAUACUGCAAAUCUCGAGUCCGGAAGAGGUGAGUGGAAUUCCUAGUGUAGAGGUGAAAUUCGUAGAUAUUAGGAAGAACACCAGUGGCGAAGGCGGCUCACUGGUCCGGUACUGACGCUGAGGCGCGAAAGCGUGGGGAGCAAACAGG